CGCUAUUUAGGUUAGAGUUUGAUCCUGGCUCAGGACGAACGCUGGCGGCGUGCCUAACACAUGCAAGUCGAACGGGGCCGGGGGCAACUCCGGUUCAGUGGCGGACGGGUGCGUAACACGUGAGGAACAUAUCUUUCGGCGGGGGAUAGCCGGCCCAACGGCCGGGUAAUACCGCGUACGACCUUUCGGGGACAUCCCCGGUUGGUGAAAGCAGCAAUGCACCGACGC
rnacentral:rRNA from 1 species